GCGCUCGUAGCUCAGCUGGAUAGAGCAUCAGACUACGAAUCUGAGGGUCAGGAGUUCGAAUCUCUUCGGGCGCGCCA
rnacentral:tRNA from 2 species